GCGGCUCUGGUCCAACAGGCAGAGACGUCGGCCUUAGGUGCCGAAGGUUCGGGGUUCGAAUCCCCGGAGCCGCACGA
rnacentral:tRNA from 1 species